rnacentral:rRNA from 1 species
AGAUUGAACGCUGGCGGCAGGCCUAACACAUGCAAGUCGAGCGGUAGAGAGGUGCUUGCACCUCUUGAGAGCGGCGGACGGGUGAGUAAAGCCUAGGAAUCUGCCUGGUAGUGGGGGAUAACGCUCGGAAACGGACGCUAAUACCGCAUACGCCCUACGGGAGAAAGCAGGGGACCUUCGGGCCUUGCGCUAUCAGAUGAGCCUAGGUCGGAUUAGCUA